rnacentral:rRNA from 1 species
GACGAACGCUGGCGGCGUGCCUAACACAUGCAAGUCGAACGGAAAGGCCCUGCUUUCGUGCGCUGCCCGAGUGGCGAACGGGUGAGUAACACGUGAGUAACCUGCCCUAGUCUUUGGGAUAACUUCAGGAAACUGGGGCUAAUCCCAGAUAGGAGCCGCCGUUGCAUGGAGGGCGUUGGAACGUCUCGGCUGUCGCGGAUGGAGUCGCGGGUUACGAGCUUGUUGGUGGGGUAGUGGCUUACCAAGGCAUUGGCGGGUAGCCGGCUUGGGAGGUUGGCCGGGCACAUUGGGACUGAGGUACGGCCCAGAGUCGUACGGGGGACAGCGGUGGGAAGUAUUGCACAGUGAGCGGAAGCCUGAUGCAAAGACGCCGCGUUCGGAAUGACGGCCUUCUGGUAAUAAACAGCAUUCGCCUGUGACGAAGCGUGUGUGACGGUAAUGGAUAAAGAAGCACCGGCUAACUACGUG